rnacentral:rRNA from 1 species
AGAGUUUGAUCAUGGCUCAGGACGAACGCUGGCGGCGUGCUUAACACAUGCAAGUCGAACGGGUUUAUUGGAUGUAGCAAUACAUUCAAUAGAUUAGUGGCGCACGGGUGAGUAACACGUAGGCAACCUACCCUUCAGUGGGGGACAACAGAGGGAAACUUCUGCUAAUACCGCAUACGGCCUUGUACUGGGAUGUACGAGGAGAAAGGAUUUAUUCGCUGAGGGAUGGGCCUGCGGCCUAUCAGGUAGUUGGUGGGGUAAAGGCCUACCAAGGCGACGACGGGUAGCCGGCCUGAGAGGGUGAACGGCCACACUGGAACUGAGAUACGGUCCAGACUCCUACGGGAGGCAGCAGUGGGGAAUAUUGGGCAAUGGGGGCAACCCUGACCCAGCGACGCCGCGUGGGGGAAGACGGCCUUCGGGUUGUAAACCUCUUUUGUACGGGAAGAAGGAAGUGACGGUACUGUACGAAUAAGUCCCGGCUAACUACGUGCCAGCAACCGCGGUAAUACGUAGGGGACGAGCGUUGUCCGGAAUUACUGGGCGUAAAGGGCGCGCAGGCUGUGCUGCAAGUCAGCUGUUAAAUGUCUGGGCUUAACCCGGGCAUGCGGUUGAGACUGCAGUGCUGGAGUGCUGUAGAGGCAAGUGGAAUUCCCAGUGUAGCGGUGAAAUGCGUAGAUAUUGGGAAGAACACCGGUGGCGAAGGCGACUUGCUGGGCAGCAACUGACGCUGAGGCGCGAAAGCCAGGGGAGCAAACGGGAUUAGAUACCCCGGUAGUCCUGGCCGUAAACGAUGAAUGCUAGGUGUGGGUGUAGAGAUACAUUCGUGCCGGAGUUAACGCGAUAAGCAUUCCGCCUGGGGAGUACGGUCGCAAGAUUGAAACUCAAAGGAAUUGACGG